GAUGAAGAACGUAGUGAAAUGCGAUAAGUAGUGUGAAUUGCAGAAUUCAGUGAAUCAUCGAGUCUUUGAACGCACAUUGCGCCCUCUGGUAUUCCGGAGGGCAUGCCUGUCCGAGCGUCAUUGCUGCCCUCCAGCCCGGCUGGUGUGUUGGGCCCCGUCCCCCUUCCCGGGGGGACGGGCCCGAAAGGCAGCGGCGGCACCGCGUCCGGUCCUCGAGCGUAUGGGGCUUUGUCACCCGCUCUUGUAGGCCCGGCCGGCGCCAGCCGACCCCCUCAAUCUAUUUUUCAGGUUGACCUCGGAUCAGGUAGGGAUACCCGCUGAACUUAAGCAUAUCAAUAAGCGGAGGA
rnacentral:misc_RNA from 1 species